rnacentral:lncRNA from 1 species
UUCAUAAUCAUUAAAACUUUAAUGAUAUAAUAAAAUAAUUUUAGGUAUUUUGGAUGUACAUAUUUAUCCAGUGAGAGAUCCUCAUUUGUUAAACAUUUAACAUGAACCUGAUUUGAGAAAUGCCACAAUACUGUUUAAAUACAUGAUAUCACUGAAGGAGGUAAUAUGGACAUCUAGGCCAGUAUGCUAGAUUGAGUGCCAAGGAUCUAUUUAGUGCUCUAUUUCUCAAGAUUAUAUGAUCUUAGUCUCUGAGCACCUGUUUCAUCACUGGUAAAGUAGGGAUGACAAGUAUCAGGCAUGCCUCCCUGACUGGGUGCCCAUUAAGUGAAAUAGAACAUGGAAGAUAUUGUCAAUCAUAUAGUACUAUGCAAGAGUUUGCUAUUAUUGUUGUCAGCAUUGUUGUUUGAAGAGUCCUUCAAGGGAGCAAAUCCAGUGCAUAUAUUUUGAACAUUUAAAUCAGGAAAUCUUGAGAGCCCUAGGGCAUAUCAAAAGGCUUUUUAAAAAGAAUGCCUUAAACCCUGCUUAAUACCCAAACUUGCUUUUAUGUCAUUACAUAAAAUGAUUAAGAAGCUGUCAUACGAAUUUAAAGUAAUUUUCCCCUUUCAAAUGGCUUGUCUAAAACUUAUCUUUAAAUAGACAUAAGAUUCUAAUUGUAAAUUCUACACACUUCCUUUGCACUUUAUGGAAAAAUUCCCAAGAAUGAUACAAAAGCAAUUUCAGGUCAAGAGGAUACUCUGUAACAUUGAGGUCUUGGUCUUAUUCAGUAGCUCUGAAAUUAAUACAUAAGCACUGGGUUAUGGCUCAAGCCUUCUUGCAAAAUUCCAGCCCUUGAUUGAUAUAUUGUAAAUUUUAAUGAUAAUAACUUAAAAUUUUCCAUUUGACUCUUGCUUUAUGGAAAGUUGAAAUGUAAGAGGUUAAGAAUAAUUGACACUUUUCAAAGUUCUGGUUACAAAAGCAGUCGUGGCCUUUUACAGAUAAUAGCCUGGAGGCUAGUUUGUAAACUGUAAAUAAUUUGUAAAUAUCCAUUGAAGUGCAUUCUGCAUGGAUUAAUGCCUCUUGGUUAGAAACCCUGCACUUGAUGUAUUAAAUGCUUUGGC